GGGGGUGUAGUUCAGCAGGUAGAACAUAUGCUUUGCACGCAUAAAGUCAUCGGUUCGAACCCGGUCAUCUCCA
rfam:Amborella trichopoda AMTR_V1.0_contig_45263, whole genome shotgun sequence.